UCUAGUAUAAGCAAUCUAUACGGUGAAACUGCGAAUGGCUCAUUAAAUCAGUUAUCGUUUAUUUGAUAGUACCUUACUACUUGGAUAACCGUGGUAAUUCUAGAGCUAAUACAUGCUAAAAACCCCGACUUCGGAAGGGGUGUAUUUAUUAGAUAAAAAACCAAUGCCCUUCGGGGCUCCUUGGUGAUUCAUAAUAACUUAACGAAUCGCAUGGCCUUGUGCCGGCGAUGGUUCAUUCAAAUUUCUGCCCUAUCAACUUUCGAUGGUAAGGUAGUGGCUUACCAUGGUUUCAACGGGUAACGGGGAAUUAGGGUUCUAUUCCGGAGAGGGAGCCUGAGAAACGGCUACCACAUCCAAGGAAGGCAGCAGGCGCGCAAAUUACCCAAUCCCGACACGGGGAGGUAGUGACAAUAAAUACUGAUACAGGGCUCUUUUGGGUCUUGUAAUUGGAAUGAGUACAAUUUAAAUCCCUUAACGAGGAACAAUUGGAGGGCAAGUCUGGUGCCAGCAGCCGCGGUAAUUCCAGCUCCAAUAGCGUAUAUUAAAGUUGUUGCAGUUAAAAAGCUCGUAGUUGAACCUUGGGCCUGGCUGGCCGGUCCGCCUCACCGCGUGCACUGGUCCGGCCGGGCCUUUCCUUCUGGGGAGCCGCAUGCCCUUUACUGGGUGUGUCGGGGAACCAGGACUUUUACUUUGAAAAAAUUAGAGUGUUCAAAGCAGGCCUAUGCUCGAAUACAUUAGCAUGGAAUAAUAGAAUAGGACGUGUGGUUCUAUUUUGUUGGUUUCUAGGACCGCCGUAAUGAUUAAUAGGGAUAGUCGGGGGCAUCAGUAUUCAAUUGUCAGAGGUGAAAUUCUUGGAUUUAUUGAAGACUAACUACUGCGAAAGCAUUUGCCAAGGAUGUUUUCAUUAAUCAGUGAACGAAAGUUAGGGGAUCGAAGACGAUCAGAUACCGUCGUAGUCUUAACCAUAAACUAUGCCGAC
rnacentral:rRNA from 1 species